UCACAUAUCUCAGUUGAUUAGCCUCAUAAUACCUUCUUAUAUUGGGAAGGUCCAACCCUCCCUCUUUUUUGUGAUUUAUACCAAAGUUGUUUAUUUAGUUUGGUUCUUUCCCCUCUAUUACAAUAUGUAUUUGAUAUUUCUUGCCAUUUAUUCAAUUUGGUUUCCGAAACUUUUAAUGGUAGCCUUCUAUGGAAUAGUGCUUUGCUAGCAAAUUAAUUAACCUUUUCAUCUGCUUUUUGGGAAUUCUGCUCCAGAUCUGAGAGCACUGCUGCAUAAGCUAGUUGAACUAGAAGAGUAAUGUGUCAAGACUCAGCAUGUUGUCCAGUAUCUGUCCAACCAAGCAAAUAUAUAGCACAUUGACACCAACCAUGAGGUGUGCAAUAUUGGAUCUUGGAUCCAGUACAGGUGCAUAUUCUUUACCUUGUCAUGUGUCACUCAAAUGGAGAAGCUUCCUCCUGCCAUGUCUGACACAGAAACUGGGUGCCUGGAUGCACCCAUAUGGCCAGGCACCCCAUUUCCAUAUCAGAUGCAGUGACGCGGGGGAUGGCUUCUCAGUCAGAGCAAUGCACAGCAAGGUAAGGAGAAUGUGGCAGUGUGAACAAUCUGGGUUUGCUAUGGAGGUUCCUGGAAACUCCACAGAAAAUAAGGGGUAAAUUACUUUGUGGUAUCAACUGGGGUCAAGUUGGAUCAUCCAGAUCCACAUCUGGUCUGGCAGGAUCAAGUCCAAUAUUGGCCCUGUUGCUUUGCCUGUGUUGUUUGGACUAGAUAACAUUAAGCUGAGGGGACCCAGGUCUUUUGGCCCAUGUGGAUAAUCCCCUAGAAUCAUACAAUUGGAAGAGCUCUUAUGGACCAUCUCGUUCAACCCCCUGCUUAAUUGCAGUAUCUCCAGCUAAAGUAUCCCCAGCAGGUAGCUAUCUAGCCUUUUUUAAAAAAAAAUCCACAGAAGGAGAACCCACUACAUUUCUAGGCAAUUUAUUCCAUUGCUGAACUCUUACUGUCAACAAGUUCCUUCUAAUGUUCAGUUGAAGUCUAUUGGCGUUUCCAGUUUCUGCAGUUGUUUGUGUGUGUGUGUGAAGGGGGGGGGAUGGAUUUCUGUGUGAACAACUGAAAUAAAUGACAUGUGAUGAAUAGGCUGGUCUUCAUGUUCUCUUAAUUUUAAAUCCAAUGGUUUGAGCAUUGGACUAUGACUAUGGAGAAUAGGAUUCAAAUCCUUGCUCAGGAAUGAAACAGACUGGGUGACUCUAGGCAACUUACACUCUCUUAGCCUCUGAGGAUGGCAAUGGCAAACCCCUCUGAAAAAACCUGCCAAGAAAACCCUGUGAUAGGUUUGCUGUAGGGUUGCCAUAAGUUAGAAAUGACUUGAAAGCACGCAACAACAACAAUAGAUAUUGUGGGAAAUGAAUUAAUUCAUUCUUUACAAACGCUUGGAAUCUACAUGACUCCCAUGAGCUGUAGUUUGACUAGCUUUGGUGCUCUUCCUGUGUGGGCUGAGCUCUUCUAUUUCUAACAAUGUACCCAGAGAAAUAGGGAUGUCAUAGAAUGGUAUGCAAGAAAGGCUAUUGGUGAAAAAAUACGAAUUUUGCUCUGGUACUUUGGUUCUUACAAACAUGCAGCAUAGGCUUAUAUUUCAGUACGCUAACUAGAGCUGAAAUGGCCAGCCAUAGCAGUACUGUAAUAGACUAUUGAUUUCAGACACCAUUUUCUAUUUCUUUGUAAUUGAAUUGCACACAUAAACAUAACAUGUUCAUUUGUAGGAUGAAGGCGAUGAAGGGAAAAUCAUGCCAGGGAGCAUCAGAAAUAUGAAGUAUAUGCUGAAGAAUGAUGAAAUAAAUAUUAAUCAUCCCACUGUUUUCUGAGUGACUAUUGCCAACAUUUAAUUUGUGUGCAUUUUAAUGGUGAUAUUAUUUCACUUCUUAUCCCUAAAUGAGACAUCAUAAAAUUUUAAAAAUUAUUUCAUAGUGGCUAUAUAUACACAUUUACAUUUGUCUUAGAUCUUAUUGCUUUUUCCAGCAAAUGUUGUUUUCAUUUGGGUUAAGGAAAUGUCAACCUCUGAGGUCUGAAUUCUUUUUUUUUCUUUUUCUUUCCCACUACAGAAGGUGAAUUGUUUGCCAUAAAAAGAAAACAGGCCUGCAGCAUUAUUCUAAAAGUGAAUCCAAGGUGUAGGAAUCAUGCAAGGCCACAUUUUUAUGGCUCUUCCCUAGGUUUCUGACAAAAGGAAAAAGGAAAAAGGAAAAGAGACAACUGCUGCUUCCAGGAGCUGGUUGCCCUUUACUGUGUGAGCUAAUGAAUGACCAUACCAAAACAAAGGUGCAAAUGGAGCCCACAGUUAUAUAAUCUUCUACAUCAAGGCAAUUUUAUUACGGCCAACCUGACAGCAAGUUUGGGAGCUGAAUAUUAAGCAAAGCAGGGAAGGUGAAUAAAUCAGCGAAUUGAUCCAGCCAGCUCAGUAUUGUUGACACCAGUGGACAGGAGCUCUUCAGAGAUCCAGAGGGCAAUCAUUCCAUCCAGUAGGGGGUGAAGAAGAUGGCCAGCUUGGAGUGGCCACUCCAGCCCCAGUUCCUCUCCAACCAUCAGAGGACCAUGGUGACCAGUUGCUGCUAUCCCAAGGCCUUCCAUCACCACAGUCCUAAACAAACAGCUCUUACUCUCAGGAAGUUCUUCGUAAUGUUGAGGUGGAAUCUCUUUUCCUG